GAGAAGCGGUACUUCCUCUUCAUCUCACUGCGCUUCUGCUCCAAGAUGCGCCUGCGGGAGUUCUCCGACUCGGACUCCAGCGCGUCAAACACCGCGGCGCCGACCAGCAGACGUGGGACAAAGUGAGGGAGGCUACACUGACUCAAAGAGAUAGAUGCUUCACUUAAUGAACUCUGCUAUCUCUGUUCUCGCAAAGGUUGAAAGUGAGAUUUUCCAGAAGCCUGAUGCUUGACUGCUCCAUCCGUUCCCAAACCAUCUUUAAGGAAAUUUUAUGAUCACUGUCUCGUCAGAAAAUCUUCUCUUAAGAAGAUAGUUUGGGUGAGAGGGUAAAAACCUGUGAAAAUAAAGUGUCUCCCAUUAGGACACAAAAAAACUGACAAUUAUUUGAUUUUCUUUGCCAUGCUAAGAAGUAGGUAAAAAAUAUUCCUUGCAGAAAUCUAUUAAAUAUUAGCUGAUACAUCCAUUUCGGCUAUACUUUCUGAAUGUCCACAGAUUUUCUAAGACAUUUUAAAGAUACAAGAGACAUUCAGUGUACAGCAGGUAUUUUCUGUGUUGAAGAAAUGAAAUUUGUAAUAAAAUUUUAAAAAAAAAAACCUCUAACAUUA